CACCUGGCUGCCGCUGCGCUUCCUCGACUUCCACUACCAGCUGCGCAUCCGCCCCAAGCACGCGGAGGACGAGUCGGACGACGGCGCCCACUUGGUGAACGUGGCGAGCCCGGAGGAGCGCUCGUUCGUGUUCCCGAGCCCGGCGCCCCGCCCCCGGCAGGAGGUGCGCGUGCGCGCGGGGGAC